UCAAUAUAUCUGUAAAUCUAAAAUGAUUUUUUUUGAAGAGCAUCUUUUUUUUUAACCCUGCAGCAAUGAGCUUUGGGAUGGACAGCCUGUGAACCAGACUCUUCCUCUCUCCAGGAAAUUUGUUUGAGUGCUCUGUAGCUGCACAUCCUGUGAACAGGUUGCACACACAGGAAUCUCAUCAUUAUGAAUAACUGCAAGCAGGACGACACCGGGAUUCUCUUCUCUCCCUCCCAAUGCCUGCAGUGGAUGUCUGGACUACAUAUGCAGUGGGAGAGCUGGAGGAGCCUGUUACAAACCUCAGCUCAUGAGCACCUUCCAGCUCUGUCUUUUGAGAAGAUGACUGGGAGGAAGGUGGUAUUGAGAAACAAAGCAUCCGGCCUUUGUGAAGCCGAGCCUUAAGGUCCCCUCUCCAGCCCCGGCUGACCCCAGACCCUCAUUUUCUUCUCUGGCGUCCAACUUCAAGGAUUGGCCUGUUUCCCUUUAACUAUAGCUACCACUCAGCCCACUCGCUGAAGAAGGCAGAGCCCACGCCUCCUGGCACAGUUUCCCCUCAGCCACCUAAGGCAAGCGAAUGAGUCUUAUUGUAAUAAGCUGUUUCCCUCACUAUGGAACAACAGGGGCUAAACUAAUUAAUAAA